rnacentral:misc_RNA from 1 species
AAUUAUAUAAAAGUAAAUUUUUUUAACCUUAUGACACCUGUAAAUAAUUGUAGCACACAAUAACUGAACCGUUAGAUUUGUAGAAAGAUUAGGCGGGAAACUUAUGAGUUGCGUAUAAAAGAGAAAGCAAUAGACAGUGACGUAGCAAGUGAGAAAGCGAGCCCGCGGAUCGAGGGAUAGAGAGAGAGAGAGAGAAAGGGAGAGAGAGAGA